rnacentral:rRNA from 1 species
UACGUAGGGUGCGAGCGUUAAUCGGAAUUACUGGGCGUAAAGCGUGCGCAGGCGGAUUGUUAAGCAAGAUGUGAAAUCCCCGGGCUUAACCUGGGAAUGGCAUUUUGAACUGGCAGUCUAGAGUGCGUCAGAGGGGGGUGGAAUUCCACGUGUAGCAGUGAAAUGCGUAGAGAUGUGGAGGAACACCAAUGGCGAAGGCAGCCCCCUGGGAUGACACUGACGCUCAUGUACGAAAGCGUGGGUAGCAAACAGGAUUAGAUACCCUGGUAGUCCACGCCCUAAACGAUGUCAACUGGUUGUUGGGGGAGUGAAAUCCCUUAGUAACGAAGCUAACGCGUGAAGUUGACCGCCUGGGGAGUACGGUCGCAAGAUUAAA